UUAUUUGUAAUAAGAAAAUUAUAUCAAAUAUAUAAUGUUUUAUUUUAUCUGUUUUGUUCAUGUAAGUGAUUUCGUUUAAUAUAAUAAUUAGUAUUUUUAUUGUUUUUAUCUGUGGUACGGGGUGAAGGGUGAGUGAGACCGUACGAUAACACAAAUAUGGGCUAGUUGCGACUUCUUUAAAGCUUAAAAGUACAGGACAAUCUUCACCUACAAAUCGUUCUAUAAUAACCCAUAAUCAACUUCUAUUUACUAAUGGGGGUUAAGUACUGGUGGUAGAGCUUUGUGCAAACUCGUCUGGGCAGGGUUUGGUUGCUGUUCUAAUAAUCUCGCAUUCUUCAACUAUCCAAACAGCAAAUGACGACGAUACUUCGCAAUGGGUUCAGCAAACAUUUAACAGUGCGGCCGAUUACGACGACCUUGAUUUGACACCAACAGGUGAUAAAAUAAGUGAUCUAGACUGUAUCACGGACAACAAUGAGCCAGGUACCUGUGUGGUGUAUUAUCUUUGCGAUCCGGACUCCCACACGAUAUUCGCAGAUGGCAAGACAAUCACAGAUAUGGGACAGAGACAGUGUAUAUCAUACCUCGAAGUGUGCUGUGGGUACAAGAGCAUAUUACGUGAAGACACACUGACCACAACACAGAUGCAACCAAAACUGAGUCCUCAUGACAUCAUAAAUUUCCAAGAAGAGCUUCAGACAACACCAGCGAGUUAAUGCUACUUUUAGUGAUGACAAAAUGGAGAAGAAUUUGCAUUCUAGUGGUAUAUGAUGAAAUUAUGUUGAGCUGAGAUGGAAAUUUCAUGUGCUUAAUUUAUGCUUAUAAUUCAUCUCGUGCUCGGUGAAGGAGUACAUCGUGAGGAAACCUGCAUGUUUCUUGUUCCACUGAUAUACUGCCGCAAACCUUCUCCUCGGAGGACCACUUCUGUUGGCGGUGCAUGGCAAUGUUAAAAAUAGUUGAUAUUUCUUAGUGUUAAAUAUGGGCGGUUAUCACUUACCAUCAAUCUGUCAACCCGUCCACUUAUUUAUUUCAUACGAAAAGACCCAGACAAUAUUUAUCACUGACCUCAGAGUUCAUUGACUGAAGGUUAUCGAAGUUGUUCUUUUUGUAUCUUACAUUAAUCUUUAACAAUAAUAAUAAUAUCCUGGGACAUUUUUCACACGCGGCCACCUUAUCUCAAAUUAAACUUGUACAGAGCUUGUACUAUGGAAACUGACAACUGAUAUGCUACAUAUACUAUUUUCUUUUGUAAAUACAUACUUAUAUAGAUAAUUACACCCAGACUCAGGACAAAUAGACAUGUUCAUGCACACAACUAUCUGUCCUGGGUAGGAAUCGAACCCACAACGUUCGGCGUGAAAGGCAAGUAUCUACUAACCACGCCAACCGGCUCGUCAAUCGGUUGAGAUUUUUAUAUAAAACUUACUAUUAAUUUUUGAUUGUUAAUACAUUUGUAAUAUUCAUAUUAUUUAUUA